rnacentral:lncRNA from 1 species
UUAAAAGUCAUGUAUCCAGUCCUGGGUACAUAUAGCAGGGACUUAGCUGUGUUCUGUGUGACCCCAAGGGGUACAGUGGGACCAAUCAGUGGGAGAUAGAAAGAAACAGAUUUUAGCUCAAUAUUAGGUGGGGUCUUUAAAAACUCAUGGCUGCCCAGGUUGGAGUAGGCUGCACACAGAGGCAGAGCUUCCAACGGCAAGGGUCCUCACAGCAGAGGAGCGUCAGCUGCUUGACAAGAACAUCAGAGGGAAAUUUCAAGCUGUGGCCUCUCUGGCCUCCAAAAUCCCUUCCAACUAGGGAUUAUCUAAUCCUUCGAUUAGUGAAUCUCCUUCAAGUUGUCUACUUCACCAACUUAAGAAGGAAAUGAACUCCCCGGUGCUGAGACCAGAUCAGUGCAAAUGUGGCCGAGGGACUUGGGUUUUCCUUUUACUGCUGAAUCUGGUUUUCUUGAGUUUCAGCCUUGAUUCAUCUGCACCCUCCACACAGACUAAGUGUCAGAUGCAUCGUUAUGCUGACUUUUGCAGAGACGGCUCAGGAUCAUUUACACAGAGGACUGCGGCAGUUGCGAUAUCCAAGCAGGAGCCUAGGGGACCGUGUUUCUCCCCGUCUCUGCAGUACCACUCAGCACACAGGUUUAUGUUGGCCUCUCCCAGCAUCUCACAUCAGGUACAAGGUAGGGAAUGAGCAGUCAAGUCUAAAUUCACUGAGAAAAACCCCGGAGAUGAAGCCAACUUUGUUCAAGCUUUUAAAGAAAUUUAUUUUGAAGCACCUGCAAUUUGGAAUAAUUAGAAGCACUUCGUUUUCGGCAUCCUGUCCAGCCCACGUCCAGGAGGAAUCCUGGGGACCCUGAGGCCACUUGAGAGAAUACAUCGCGGUGAGCCAGAAGCCAAGACAAAAGAGGACAUGAGUAAUCGAUUGUCAUCCUAAUUAGCCUUUCCAGUAUAUUUCUCCAAAAUUAAGAGAAGAACUUUAUGACUGGAAAAUAAGUGCCUCACAAAGUCAGUCAGCUUCCAACGUGUUGUUUUCCUCAAAAGAACAGCGAGACCUUUUGAUUAUAG